rnacentral:lncRNA from 1 species
GUCAAGACUGGAAGGAGAGCGCUGUCUGCUGACACUGGAGACCAUUCACAGUGGGCGCUCUGGGCUACGGCCCGCCCCAUGAAAACACUGGAACAUCUGGUUGAUGUCUGCACCUGCAGCAGGACACAAAGGGCUGAAUCAACUAACUAGACAAUAAUCCGGCACACGUGACUCUCAGGAUGGAUGUAGAUGAAGGGAGUCUAUUGUUUUUGCAGAAGGGUCCAUUCCUCGAGCAAAGUAACUUUCUGAACACCUAAGUACAAGGACAGCAUCACUCCAUAAACAACGUUCCGCAUCACCCGCUUUCUGUCCCCACGCCCUGUCCCAUCCGAAAGGCUGACGUUCCACAGAGCGAACCGAGCUUGAGUUGACCUAGUGAAGCAAGAACCACAAAUAAGUAACCUGUUACCUGGGAACAGAGCAGCAAUUCUCUCGCAAAUGAAUGUCAAUGAGGUACAUUUAUGACAGCUCCUCUUGGAGUGAAGGUGGAAUGAGGGACUGGAAGGUGAGGGUUCAUCACUCGUGUGAACCUGCAUUCGACUUUCACAUGCUACUCCUCGGCUUGUCAAUCGGGUCACAGGUGAGUCCUGUUGAAGGCAAUCCUGCAGAAAUUGGACUCCAGAGAAGGUUUGGAUUAGAACCCCAGCAUCACUACAUCAAAACUAGUGAGGACAAUACCACCGGUGGCUAACGUCAACCCAGGAGAUUGAGUUCAAUGUGCCGGUCAAUGACUGACCUCAGAAAGAGUCAAAGGCCAUGAAAUCAAUAUCUACAUAGUAACUUCAAUACAAUAUUGAGCAUUACCUUGAAUUGAGUCACGCCUUUGAGAACCCAGUUACUGAACCGAAUGCAAGAACAGAUGCCCACACCCCACACGUGCUGACAAAAGAAGAUUCCGGCCGAGGAGAUAAUCUCCAUUGAUUUAGUCAUACAAUGAAAGGUUUCACUCCUGUGCAAAAUACUUUAACAGGCAAAGGCUUUCUGCUUUGUACUCUAAAAGCUCUAACUCCAUUUCCCUAGAAAUGGCAAGCACACUAUGUCACAUUAAAUUCCCUCUCUGUCAGCUGAAUUGUCUGGCAUGGGAUUUUUGGGUUGAAUCAUUUUGUCUAAAAAGGCAAAA